rnacentral:rRNA from 1 species
GAUGAACGCUGGCGGCGUGCCUAACACAUGCAAGUCGAGCGAAGCGGUUUUAAGGAAGUUUUCGGAUGGAAUUAAAACUGACUGAGCGGCGGACGGGUGAGUAACGCGUGGGUAACCUGCCUCAUACAGGGGGAUAACAGUUAGAAAUGGCUGCUAAUACCGCAUAAGCACACAGCUUCGCAUGGAGCAGUGUGAAAAACUCUGGUGGUAUGAGAUGGACCCGCGUCUGAUUAGCUAGUUGGUAAGGUAACGGCUUACCAAGGCGACGAUCAGUAGCCGACCUGAGAGGGUGACCGGCCACAUUGGGACUGAGACACGGCCCAAACUCCUACGGGAGGCAGCAGUGGGGAAUAUUGCACAAUGGGGGAAACCCUGAUGCAGCGACGCCGCGUGAGUGAAGAAGUAUCUCGGUAUGUAAAGCUCUAUCAGCAGGGAAGAAAAUGACGGUACCUGACUAAGAAGCCCC